rnacentral:misc_RNA from 1 species
UUGUGUUAGAUAAGGUUUCU